GUGAAUCAUCAAAUUUUUGAACGCAAAUUGCACUCUCUUCGGAGAGUAUGCCUGUUUGAGGGUCAGCCUAUAAAAAAUCGACAUCGUUGCUGCUUCGCGAUGGCGUGCGUCGGAAAUUGGCUCAUCAUAAAUCUUGUUGUAUUAAGCUAAUUAUAAUUUUCUUUUUCGCCCUAUGAAUGUUCCUAAGUUUUAUUUCUUUUUACUCUUACUGUAU
rnacentral:misc_RNA from 1 species